rnacentral:tRNA from 1 species
GCAUCCAUAGCUCAAUUGGAAGAGCGCCGGUCUUCGAAGCCGUAGGUUGUAGGUUCGAGCCCUACUGGAUGCACCA